UUGUCUUCUAAAUGACUAGAAUGUAAAAUGAUUAUCAGGAGGAUUGUAUUACCAUGCUUAAGUGUGUUCGUUUGCUCUAUCAAUAUUCUUAAUUUUAUAUAACAUCCAAAAACAAAACCUACAGACUUUCUUUACAGAAAUCAAUGCGAACACCAUCUGUUGUUUUGUGUCGUGGCGUCCACGUUUCCACACAGACCUAAAAGUAGACCAAUGCGUCCUGUUGUUUGUAGCAACGUGGGGCAUGAAUAUGUACUAAUAUUCAGAAUUUACAAAUCUUGUACAUUGGUGUUAUGAGUGGAAAGUGUCUUUGACAGCCUCGACAAUGCAGAUAUCCAGUGUGAAGAUGUAUAACUUAAGCCACGGAAAGUCUCUUCCAGAGUGCCUCUCAGAUCGGGAAGAAAUUGGCAUUGCAAAAUAAAGAUGUUGGCACAUACAAGCCCAGAAUCCGAUGCUAUGACGCGUAUCAGUUGUCCUUGAAGUUUGAACGCUGUCUGGAUUCAGACGUAGUGGCCUUUGAUAUUCUGUCCAACAACUACACGAAGGUAAGACAGAUUUCCUUGGUUGUUUCCUGCAGCGGGGGUUACCUAAACGUGUAUUUUUUCAAUAAAUAAAUGUGACCUGAUAUUGUGUGUGUGUGUAGCUGGUGUUUCUCCACUGUAACUUGUACGUGGAGUUCCACUUGCAGCAUGGACACUACUACAGACGCGUAUUCCCAAGUUUGGUAGGGACUUUGCUUACCACUACCCCUCCUGCGACCUAUACUUUGUUUGGGGCAAGGUAAGUGUUAAAAGCCUAAAGAAGCUGGAUCAUUCACUGUCUUGAUAUCCUACAGUGCCUUGCGAAAGUAUUCGGCCCCCUUGAACUUUGCGACCUUUUGCCACAUU